CCUACGGGUGGCAGCAGUGAGGAAUAUUGGUCAAUGGGCGCGAGCCUGAACCAGCCAAGUCGCGUGAGGGAAGACGGUCCUCUGGAUUGUAAACCUCUUUUGUCGGGGAGCAAAAGACGCCACGCGUGGCGUUCCGAGAGUACCCGAAGAGAAAGCAUCGGCAAACUCCGUGCCAGAAGCCGCGGUAAUACGGAGGAUGCGAGCGUUAUCCGGAUUUAUUGGGUUUAAAGGGGGCGCAGGCGGAAGAUCAAGUCAGCGGUAAAAUCGAGAGGCUCAACAUCUUCGAGCAGUUGAAACUGGUUUUCUUGAGUGAGUGAGAGGUAUGCGGAAUGCGUGGUGUAGCGGUGAAAUGCAUAGAUAUCACGCAGAACUCCGAUUGCGAAGGCAGCAUACCGGAGCUCAACUGACGCUGAGGCACGAAAGUGUGGGUAUCGAACAGGAUUAGAUACCCCUGUAGUC
rnacentral:rRNA from 1 species